GGCUGUGUGGUAUAGUGGUUAGAGCAUUGAACUAUGACUCUGGAAACAAGGGUUCGAAUCCCUGCUAAGUCU